rnacentral:lncRNA from 1 species
UCAUCAUUGUGUUGGAAGGUACCCUAAGACACAAAUAAGCACACAAAAACAACUCUUUUUGGGAUUUUCAAAACAAUUUUUCAAAUUUUUAUGAAUUUUCGGAUUUUUAUGUCAAAACACACUGAAACACUCCAAAACAGCUUAAAAAUACUUAAAACAGCAAGGAACAACACUAGAAAUAAUGGGUGAUAAUUUUCUACGAAUUUUAUGCAAAACACUAGUUACCCCCCCCCCACAUUUAAAUCAAACAUUGUCCUCAAUGUUUCAAGCAUAUACUCACACAAAAACAAGCAACGAAUAACAGAACAAAUAUAGCAAAGUAAACAAAAAAAAAAAUUAGACAGAGUAGAGGUUAAGAACGCAAAUCUGGUUUUUGAGAUAGAUGAUCUUGGUGACUUU